rnacentral:tRNA from 1 species
CUUCUCGCCAUGUAUUGGUAACGUGCCUGUCUAGUGAGUAGGAGUCGUGAGUUCGAGUCUCACCAAGAGAA